UGACUAGCUAACUUUGGCAUUGAAAGUUUGCUAGGCCGGACAGAUCGUCGUGUUUGAGUUACAGUCUCGUCACAUAUAUGUCAUACCAAGUCUGUACUUAUUCUCACAUGGGAGAAGCGGGUAUGUCUCCUAACUUUUUGCCACUUGGUUACUUAUCUGUCCAGUGAGUUUAGAUGGCUGCAUCAUGCCCUUUGUUAACUUUUAUUAGCAGUUGGAUUGAGGUAACUUGCACGCACCUGACUAUUCCAUCAGUUCUUGCUAAGAUCUCACUAUCAACAGUUAGAUCAAGCCGUAGACUUUGGAUAUUAUUUAUAAAAUCGAUCUCCGUAGCUGUACCGAUGCUUAGAUUUCAGAUGAGCUUUGUUGUGUGACAGUAGAGGCCGCUGACUAUCAUGUGGCAAAUGGCAAACAAAGUCUUUAUUUGUAAACGUGCUUACUUCCUCAAGUUUCAAAUUAUGGUCGAUUAUCUCAAUAUGCCUUGGAAUAUUAUGCUGUGCAUAGUACAACUUCUUGGAAAUUUCUCAUAAGACCGUUGGAAUGAGGACCACACUUUAGGCACCUAUCUACUAAGCCCCCUAGUCUAUAUUGUUUAUUACACAAAUCUCAAUGUGUAUAUUUAAGUUUUUAGAUUUCCAUAUUACCCUUGUACUUUUGUCAAUUCUUACAAAUGUUUAAAGGACAAUUUUAUCAAUUUAAUUGGAAAAUAUCAAUUAUCAGUU
rnacentral:lncRNA from 1 species